UACGUAGGGGGCAAGCGUUGUCCGGAAUCAUUGGGCGUAAAGCGCGUGUAGGCGGUUCGAUAAGUCUGCUGUGAAAGUCCAGGGCUCAACCCUGGGAUGCCGGUGGAUACUGUCGAGCUAGAGUACGGAAGAGGCGAGUGGAAUUCCCGGUGUAGCGGUGAAAUGCGUAGAUAUCUGGAGGAACACCGGUGGCGAAGGCGGCGUUCUGGACUGCAACUGACACUGAGGAACGAAAGUGUGGGGAUCAAACAGG
rnacentral:rRNA from 1 species